UACGGAGGGUGCAAGCGUUAAUCGGAAUUACUGGGCGUAAAGCGUGCGUAGGCGGUUUAUUAAGUCAGAUGUGAAAGCCCCGGGCUUAACCUGGGAACUGCAUUUGAAACUGGUCAACUAGAGUAUGGUAGAGGAAAGUGGAAUUUCUGGUGUAGCGGUGAAAUGCGUAGAUAUCAGAAGGAACAUCAAUGGCGAAGGCAACUUUCUGGACCAAUACUGACGCUGAGGUACGAAAGCGUGGGUAGCAAACAGGAUUAGAUACCCUGGUAGUCCACGCCGUAAACGAUGAUAACUAGCCGUUGGGGGGAUUACCCCUUAGUGGCGAAGCUAACGCGUUAAGUUAUCCGCCU
rnacentral:rRNA from 1 species